rnacentral:rRNA from 1 species
GAUGAACGCUGGCGGCGUGCUUAACACAUGCAAGUCGAACGGGAAACAUUUAUUGAAGCUUCGGCAGAUUUAGCUUGUUUCUAGUGGCGGACGGGUGAGUAACGCGUGGGUAACCUGCCUUAUACUGGGGGAUAACAGCCAGAAAUGACUGCUAAUACCGCAUAAGCGCACAGAACCGCAUGGUUCGGUGUGAAAAACUCCGGUGGUAUAAGAUGGACCCGCGUUGGAUUAGCUAGUUGGCAGGGCAGCGGCCUACCAAGGCGACGAUCCAUAGCCGGCCUGAGAGGGUGAACGGCCACAUUGGGACUGAGACACGGCCCAGACUCCUACGGGAGGCAGCAGUGGGGAAUAUUGCACAAUGGGGGAAACCCUGAUGCAGCGACGCCGCGUGAAGGAAGAAGUAUCUCGGUAUGUAAACUUCUAUCAGCAGGGAAGAUAAUGACGGUAC